rnacentral:rRNA from 1 species
GACGAACGCUGGCGGCGUGCUUAACACAUGCAAGUCGAACGGAAAGGCCCCUUUGGGGGUACUCGAGUGGCGAACGGGUGAGUAACACGUGAGUAACCUGCCCUUGACUUGGGGAUAACUUCAGGAAACUGGGGCUAAUACCGGAUAGGAAUCCUUGCUGCAUGGUGGGGGUUGGAAAGCUUCGGCGGUUUUGGAUGGACUCGCGGCUUAUCAGCUUGUGGGUGGGGUAGUGGCUUACCAAGGCUUUGACGGGUAGCCGGCCUGAGAGGGCGACCGGCCACAUUGGGACUGAGAUACGGCCCAGACUCCUACGGGAGGAAGCAGUGGGGAAUAUUGCACAAUGGGCGGAAGCCUGAUGCAGCAACGCCGCGUGCGGGAUGACGGCCUUCGGGUUGUAAACCGCUUUCAGCAGGGGCGAAGCUUGUGGUGACGGUACCUGCAGAAGAAGCACCGGCUAACUACGUG